GACGUAGGGGGCCAGCGUUGUUCGGAAUUACUGGGUGUAAAGGGUGCGUAGGCGGCGCGGUAAGUCGGGUGUGAAAUCUCGGGGCUUAACUCCGAAACUGCAUUCGAUACUGCCGUGCUUGAGGACUGGAGAGGAGACCGGAAUUUACGGUGUAGCGGUGAAAUGCGUAGAUAUCGUAAGGAAGACCAGUGGCGAAGGCGGGUCUCUGGACAGUUCCUGACGCUGAGGCACGAAGGCCAGGGGAGCAAACGGG
rnacentral:rRNA from 1 species